AUCAACUUUCGAUGGUAGGAUAGAGGCCUACCAUGGUGGUAACGGGUAACGGGGUGUUAGGGCAUGACACCGGAGAGGGAGCCUGAGAAACGGCUACCACAUCCAAGGAUGGCAGCAGGUAUGCAAAUUAUCCAAUCCCGACAUGGGAAGGUAGUGACAAUAAAUAACAAUACGGGGUUCUUUCAGAUUUUGUAAUUGGAAUGAGUACAAUUUAAAUCUCUUAAUGAGGAACAAUUGGAGGGCAAGUCUGGUGCCAGCAGCCGCGGUAAUUCCAGCUCCAAUAGCGUAUAUUAAAGUUGCUGCAGUUAAAAAGCUCGUAGUUGAAUUUCGGGACCAUCAUGUCGGUCGUGCCUCAGUACAUACUGGCAUUGUUGGUUUCUCCCUUCUGACGAACCAUGAUGUCAUUUAUUUGGUGUUGUGGGGAAUCAGGACUGUUACUUUGAAAAAAUUAGUGUUUAAAGCAGGCUCACGCUUGAAUACAUUAGCAUGGAAUAAUGAAAUAAGAUGUUUGAUUUUAUUUUGUUGGUUUCUAGGACUGACGUAAUGAUUAAUAGGGAUAGUUGGGGGCAUUAGUAUUCAAUUGUAAGAGGUGAAAUUCUUGGAUUUAUUGAAGACUAACUACUGCGAAAGCAUUUGCCAAGGAUGUUUUCAUUAAUCAAGAACGAAAGUUAGGGGAUCGAAGACGAUCAGAUACCGUUGUAGUCUUAACCAUAAACUAUGCCGACUAGGGAUCGGAUGAUGUUAAUUUUUUAAUGACUCAUUUGGUGCCUUACGGGAAACCAAAGUGUUUGGGUUC
rnacentral:rRNA from 1 species